GUUAAGCGACUAAGCGUACACGGUGGAUGCCCUGGCAGUCAGAGGCGAUGAAGGACGUGCUAAUCUGCGAUAAGCGUCGGUAAGGUGAUAUGAACCGUUAUAACCGGCGAUUUCCGAAUGGGGAAACCCAGUGUGAUUCGUCACACUAUCAUUAACUGAAUCCAUAGGUUAAUGAGGCGAACCGGGGGAACUGAAACAUCUAAGUACCCCGAGGAAAAGAAAUCAACCGAGAUUCCCCCAGUAGCGGCGAGCGAACGGGGAGCAGCCCAGAGCCUGAAUCAGUGUGUGUGUUAGUGGAAGCGUCUGGAAAGGCGCGCGAUACAGGGUGACAGCCCCGUACACAAAAAUGCACAUGCUGUGAGCUCGAUGAGUAGGGCGGGACACGUGGUAUCCUGUCUGAAUAUGGGGGGACCAUCCUCCAAGGCUAAAUACUCCUGACUGACCGAUAGUGAACCAGUACCGUGAGGGAAAGGCGAAAAGAACCCCGGCGAGGGGAGUGAAAAAGAACCUGAAACCGUGUACGUACAAGCAGUGGGAGCACGCUUAGGCGUGUGACUGCGUACCUUUUGUAUAAUGGGUCAGCGACUUAUAUUCUGUAGCAAGGUUAACCGAAUAGGGGAGCCGAAGGGAAACCGAGUCUUAACUGGGCGUUAAGUUGCAGGGUAUAGACCCGAAACCCGGUGAUCUAGCCAUGGGCAGGUUGAAGGUUGGGUAACACUAACUGGAGGACCGAACCGACUAAUGUUGAAAAAUUAGCGGAUGACUUGUGGCUGGGGGUGAAAGGCCAAUCAAACCGGGAGAUAGCUGGUUCUCCCCGAAAGCUAUUUAGGUAGCGCCUCGUGAAUUCAUCUCCGGGGGUAGAGCACUGUUUCGGCAAGGGGGUCAUCCCGACUUACCAACCCGAUGCAAACUGCGAAUACCGGAGAAUGUUAUCACGGGAGACACACGGCGGGUGCUAACGUCCGUCGUGAAGAGGGAAACAACCCAGACCGCCAGCUAAGGUCCCAAAGUCAUGGUUAAGUGGGAAACGAUGUGGGAAGGCCCAGACAGCCAGGAUGUUGGCUUAGAAGCAGCCAUCAUUUAAAGAAAGCGUAAUAGCUCACUGGUCGAGUCGGCCUGCGCGGAAGAUGUAACGGGGCUAAACCAUGCACCGAAGCUGCGGCAGCGACACUGUGUGUUGUUGGGUAGGGGAGCGUUCUGUAAGCCUGCGAAGGUGUGCUGUGAGGCAUGCUGGAGGUAUCAGAAGUGCGAAUGCUGACAUAAGUAACGAUAAAGCGGGUGAAAAGCCCGCUCGCCGGAAGACCAAGGGUUCCUGUCCAACGUUAAUCGGGGCAGGGUGAGUCGACCCCUAAGGCGAGGCCGAAAGGCGUAGUCGAUGGGAAACAGGUUAAUAUUCCUGUACUUGGUGUUACUGCGAAGGGGGGACGGAGAAGGCUAUGUUGGCCGGGCGACGGUUGUCCCGGUUUAAGCGUGUAGGCUGGUUUUCCAGGCAAAUCCGGAAAAUCAAGGCUGAGGCGUGAUGACGAGGCACUACGGUGCUGAAGCAACAAAUGCCCUGCUUCCAGGAAAAGCCUCUAAGCAUCAGGUAACAUCAAAUCGUACCCCAAACCGACACAGGUGGUCAGGUAGAGAAUACCAAGGCGCUUGAGAGAACUCGGGUGAAGGAACUAGGCAAAAUGGUGCCGUAACUUCGGGAGAAGGCACGCUGAUAUGUAGGUGAAGUCCCUCGCGGAUGGAGCUGAAAUCAGUCGAAGAUACCAGCUGGCUGCAACUGUUUAUUAAAAACACAGCACUGUGCAAACACGAAAGUGGACGUAUACGGUGUGACGCCUGCCCGGUGCCGGAAGGUUAAUUGAUGGGGUCAGCGCAAGCGAAGCUCUUGAUCGAAGCCCCGGUAAACGGCGGCCGUAACUAUAACGGUCCUAAGGUAGCGAAAUUCCUUGUCGGGUAAGUUCCGACCUGCACGAAUGGCGUAAUGAUGGCCAGGCUGUCUCCACCCGAGACUCAGUGAAAUUGAACUCGCUGUGAAGAUGCAGUGUACCCGCGGCAAGACGGAAAGACCCCGUGAACCUUUACUAUAGCUUGACACUGAACAUUGAGCCUUGAUGUGUAGGAUAGGUGGGAGGCUUUGAAGUGUGGACGCCAGUCUGCAUGGAGCCGACCUUGAAAUACCACCCUUUAAUGUUU
rnacentral:rRNA from 1 species